rnacentral:lncRNA from 1 species
UGGCUGUUGGAGAUUUCAAUGGUAAUGGCAUAAAUGACUUUGUUUGGAGAGUUACAAAAGCAGCAAGGACUCUGGGAGUGGUUUAUUUUUAUGAUGGGAAAAACAUGUCUUCCUUGCACAAUUUUACUGGUGAGCAGAUGGCUGCAUAUUUCGGAUUUUCUGUAGCUGCCACUGACUUUAAUGGGGAUGAUUAUGCAGAUGUGUUUAUUGGAGCACCAUUUUUCAUGGAUUGAGGCUCUGAUGUCAAACUCCAAGAGGUGGGGCAGGUCUCUGUGUCUCUGCAGAAAGCUUCAGGAGAAUUCCA